AUGAUUCUUCAUGCCUGCCGCUGGGAAAACUGGAAACUAGUGGCUGGGACAGCAGGCAGACAGAACCUGACAUCUCAGCCCUCUGUUUCCCUCAGGUCCCCAGUUCGGCCAUGGAUA
ensembl:miRNA Mir8107 microRNA 8107